GUGUGCAAGAAUAUGCAGUGACAACUCUGUCUGACACGGACUUAAAGGAACAGAUGGCAGAGUGGAGGAGCAUGUUAGAUGAAGAAGGUGUACCAAUCAGGAUUAUGGUCAGGAGGCAGUACUUGUUAGAGGAUGGCAGACGUGCCUUUAGAGGUGACAGGAUCAAAGCCAACAACAAAGUCAACGUGUAUUUCGUUGGUGAAGCAGGCAUCGACACAGGUGGUCUGACCCGAGAGUUUUUCAACCUAAUUCUGCCAAAGUUGAGAGAGAGC